GAUGAACGCUGGCGGCGUGCCUAAUACAUGCAAGUCGAGCGAAUGGAUUAAGAGCUUGCUCUUAUGAAGUUAGCGGCGGACGGGUGAGUAACACGUGGGUAACCUGCCCAUAAGACUGGGAUAACUCCGGGAAACCGGGGCUAAUACCGGAUAACAUUUUGAACCGCAUGGUUCGAAAUUGAAAGGCGGCUUCGGCUGUCACUUAUGGAUGGACCCGCGUCGCAUUAGCUAGUUGGUGAGGUAACGGCACACCAAGGCAACGAUGCGUAGCCGACCUGAGAGGGUGAUCGGGCACACUGGGACUGAGACACGGCCCAGACUCCUACGGGAGGCAGCAGUGGGGAAUCUUCCGCAAUGGACGAAAGUCUGACGGAGCAACGCCGCGUGAGUGAUGAAGGCUUUCGGGUCGUAAAACUCUGUUGUUAGGGAAGAACAAGUGCUAGUUGAAUAAGCUGGCACCUUGACGGUACCUAACCAGAAAGCCACGGCUAACUACGUGCCAGCAGCCGCCGUAA
rnacentral:rRNA from 1 species